rnacentral:rRNA from 1 species
UACGUAGGGUGCAAGCGUUAAUCGGAAUUACUGGGCGUAAAGCGUGCGCAGGCGGUUUGAUAAGUCAGAUGUGAAAUCCCCGAGCUCAACUUGGGAACUGCGUUUGGAACUGUCAGACUAGAGUGCGUCAGAGGGGGGUGGAAUUCCGCGUGUAGCAGUGAAAUGCGUAGAGAUGCGGAGGAACACCGAUGGCGAAGGCAGCCCCCUGGGAUGACACUGACGCUCAUGCACGAAAGCGUGGGGAGCAAACAGG